AUUGAACGCUGGCGGCAUGCCUUACACAUGCAAGUCGAACGGCAGCACGGGUGCUUGCACCUGGUGGCGAGUGGCGAACGGGUGAGUAAUACAUCGGAACAUGUCCUGUAGCGGGGGAUAGCCCGGCGAAAGCCGGAUUAAUACCGCAUACGAUCUACGGAUGAAAGCGGGGGACCUUCGGGCCUCGCGCUAUAGGGUUGGCCGAUGGCUGAUUAGCUAGUUGGUGGGGUAAAGGCCUACCAAGGCGACGAUCAGUAGCCGGUCUGAGAGGACGACCAGCCACACUGGGACUGAGACACGGCCCAGACUCCUACGGGAGGCAGCAGUGGGGAAUUUUGGACAAUGGGCGAAAGCCUGAUCCAGCAAUGCCGCGUGUGUGAAGAAGGCCUUCGGGUUGUAAAGCACUUUUGUCCGGAAAGAAAUCCUUGGCCCUAAUACGGUCGGGGGAUGACGGUACCGGAAGAAUAAGCACCGGCUAACUACGUG
rnacentral:rRNA from 1 species